AAUAAGUGUAGUUUUGCAAUAUUCAUAUCCAACGUUUAACUGUUCAUCUUAUUUAAAAUAAUUUAUGAUUAGUAUUUUUGUUGUUAUUAGAUGAUAAAACAUGAAUAGUACUUUAUGUUUGAUUAAUUUUUUUAAUUUUUUUAUAAAUUUUUUAAAUAAAACGGACGGUCAAACAUUGAAUACGGAUAUCCAUGGUUUCGCUUAUU
rfam:Oryza punctata chromosome 2, whole genome shotgun sequence.